GUGAAUCAUCGAAUUUUUGAACGCAUAUCGCACUAUCUGGUAUUCCGGAGGGUAUGCCUAUUUGAGGGUCAUUUGAAAUAAUAUAAAUGCCAAGAUCUCUCGGAAUUUAAAAUGGGUUGCCCAUUUUUUGUGCGCGCCUAAAAUCAAAGGAAAUCUAAUUUUUGUGGGUUGCGUGAUACUUUCAGUUACUUCGUGACUUAACCAGGAAUCAUCGGGCGUGUUAUGAAUUUUGCAGGAGAUAAAAAAUUGCAUAG
rnacentral:misc_RNA from 1 species